rnacentral:ncRNA from 1 species
GCUGGGGGGACUCGGUUUCGAGUUGAGAGGAUAGAGAUAUCCGACCCUUUGAACCUGAAGCGGUUAAUACCGCCGUAGGGAAGCGCCUGU